rnacentral:rRNA from 1 species
GCAGUCGACGGUGAAGAGGAGCUUGCUCCUUGGAUCAGUGGCGAACGGGUGAGUAACACGUGAGCAAUCUGCCCUUGACUCUGGGAUAACUGCGGGAAACUGUAGCUAAUACCGGAUAUUACCUUGGAAGGCAUCUUCUGGGGUGGAAAGAAUUUUGGUCAAGGAUGAGCUCGCGGCCUAUCAGCUAGUUGGUGAGGUAAUGGCUCACCAAGGCGACGACGGGUAGCCGGCCUGAGAGGGUGACCGGCCACACUGGGACUGAGACACGGCCCAGACUCCUACGGGAGGCAGCAGUGGGGAAUAUUGCACAAUGGGCGCAAGCCUGAUGCAGCAACGCCGCGUGAGGGACGAUGGCCUUCGGGUUGUAAACCUCUUUUAGUAGGGAAGAAGCGACUGGGUUUUCCUGGGAGUGACGGUACCUGCAGAAAAAGCACCGGCUAACUACGUGCCAGCAGCCGCGGUAAUACGUAGGGUGCAAGCGUUGUCCGGAAUUAUUGGGCGUAAAGAGCUCGUAGGCGGUUUGUCGCGUCUGCUGUGAAAACCCGAGGCUCAACCUCGGGCCUGCAGUGGGUACGGGCAGACUAGAGUGCGGUAGGGGAGAUUGGAAUUCCUGGUGUAGCGGUGGAAUGCGCAGAUAUCAGGAGGAACACCAAUGGCGAAGGCAGAUCUCUGGGCCGUAACUGACGCUGAGGAGCGAAAGCAUGGGGAG